AACACGUAAAGAACCUGCCCUCAGGUCUGGGAUAACCACGAGAAAUCGGGGCUAAUACCGGAUGGGUCAUCGGACCGCAUGGUCCGAGGAUGAAAGGCGCUUCGGCGUCGCCUGGGGAUGGCUUUGCGGUGCAUUAGCUAGUUGGUGGGGUAAUGGCCCACCAAGGCGACGAUGCAUAGCCGACCUGAGAGGGUGAUCGGCCACACUGGGACUGAGACACGGCCCAGACUCCUACGGGAGGCAGCAGUAGGGAAUCUUCCACAAUGGACGAAAGUCUGAUGGAGCAACGCCGCGUGAACGAUGAAGGCCUUCGGGUCGUAAAGUUCUGUUGUAAGGGAAGAACAAGUGCCGCAGGCAAUGGCGGCACCUUGACGGUACCUUGCGAGAAAGCCACGGCUAACUACGUGCCAGCAGCCGCGGUAAUACGUAGGUGGCAAGCGUUGUCCGGAAUUAUUGGGCGUAAAGCGCGCGCAGGCGGCCUCUUAAGUCUGAUGUGAAAGCCCCCGGCUCAACCGGGGAGGGCCAUUGGAAACUGGGAGGCUUGAGUAUAGGAGAGAAGA
rnacentral:rRNA from 1 species